rnacentral:rRNA from 1 species
GAUGAACGCUGGCGGCGUGCCUAAUACAUGCAAGUCGAGCGAAAAGACGACGUCCUUUCUCCUCUGAUGUUAGCCGCGGACGGGAGACUAACACGUGGAUAACCUACCUAUAAGAAUGGGAUAACUACGGGAACCCGGAGCUCAUACCGGAUAAUAUAUUGAACCGCAUGGUUCAAUAGUGAAAGCCGGUUUUGCUGCCAAUUAUAGAUGGAUUGGGGCCAGAUUAGCAAGUUGGUAAGGUAACGGCUUACCAACGCAACGAUGGGUAGCCGAUCUGAGAGGGUGAUCAGCCACACUGGGACUGAGACACGGUCCAGACUCCUACGGGAGGCAGCAGUAGGGAAUCUUCGACAAUGGGCGAAAGCCUGACCGAGCCACGCCGCGUGAAUGAUGAAGGUCUUCGGGUCGUAAAACGCUGUUGUAAGGAAAGAACAAAUGUGUAAGUAACUAGGCGCGUCAUGACGGUACCUAAUCAGAAAGCCACGGCUAACUACGUG